rnacentral:rRNA from 1 species
GCCUGAGAACGGCUACUACAUCUACGGAAGGCAGCAGGCGCGUAAUUACCCAAUCCUGACUCAGGGAGGUGGUGACAAGAUAUAACAACGCAAUUUCAUUGUGAUUGUAGUGAGGUUAUUCCAAACCGAACCACUAGUACGAUUAGAGGGCAAGUCUGGUGCCAGCAGCCGCGGUAAUUCCAGCUCUAAUAGCGUAUAUUAAAGUUGCUGCAGUUAAAAAGCUCGUAGUUGGAUUUCAAGGAUUGUGUACUCUCUCUAGGGUAUCGCUCUCUACUAGUCUUUGACUUGUUACUGUGAGAAAAUUAGAGUGUUUAAAGCAGCUAUUGCAAGAAUACAUUAGCAUGGAAUACGAUUUAUCUAGAAUCUUGGUAAUCAGUUCGAGGAAUAGAGACAGUUGGGGGCAUUAGUAAUUAAUUGCAGAGUGAAAUCUGGAUUGUUACGACUACGAUUGCUGAAGCAUUGCAAGGAUGUUUUCAUUAUCACCACGAAGAUAGGGAUCAAGACAUCAGAUACUGUCGUAGUCCUAUCUAUAACUAUGCCGACUAGGAUUGAUGAACUCACCAUUUCAGUACUAUGAGAUCAAGCUUGGGUCUGGGGGAUUUUGUCCCAAACUGAACUUAAGAAUUGACGAGGCCCCAGGAUGGACCGGGCUUAUUGACUCACACGGGACUUACAGUCGACUAGUAGAUUGAAAUUGUAGCCCUUCUGAUCUGGUGGGGCAUGCGUCUAUGGGAGAUUGCGUAUCGAUCACGACUACUAU